AAUUGGUGGAUGCCUUGGCAUGCACAGGCGAUGAAGGACGUGAUACGCUGCGAUAAGCGUCGGGGAGGUGCGAAUACCCUUGAUCCGUAGAUUUCCGAAUGGGGAAACCCACCUAAGGUGUUGGAAAAUCAGAGCAGCAGGGUGACUUGCUGCUGUGGUUUCCAAGGUAUCGAUAAUUAGGUAUCUUAUCUUCGAAUACAUAGGGAUAAGAAGCGAACGCGGGGAACUGAAACAUCUAAGUACCCGUAGGAAAGGACAUCAACCGAGACUCCGUAGUAGUGGCGAGCGAACGCGGACCAGGCCAGUGGCAUGGUGAGACAAGCAGAACCUUCUGGAAAGUAGGGCCAUAGCGGGUGACAGCCCCGUAUGCGUAAUGCGAACCAUUGUCCUCGAGUAAGGCGGGACACGUGAAAUCCUGUCUGAAAUUUGGGGGACCACCCUCCAAGCCUAAGUACUCGUGCAUGACCGAUAGCGAACUAGUACCGUGAGGGAAAGGUGAAAAGCACCCCGACAAGGGGAGUGAAAGAGUACCUGAAACCGAUU
rnacentral:ncRNA from 1 species